rnacentral:rRNA from 1 species
UACGGAGGAUGCGAGCGUUAUCCGGAAUCAUUGGGUUUAAAGGGUCCGUAGGCGGGCUGAUAAGUCAGAGGUGAAAGCGUUCAGCUCAACUGAGCAACUGCCUUUGAAACUGUUAGUCUUGAAUGAUUGUGAAGUAGUUGGAAUGUGUAGUGUAGCGGUGAAAUGCUUAGAUAUUACACAGAACACCGAUAGCGAAGGCAUAUUACUAACAAUUUAUUGACGCUGAUGGACGAAAGCGUGGGGAGCGAACAGG